AUUGAACGCUGGCGGCAUGCUUUACACAUGCAAGUCGAACGGUAACAGGCCGCAAGGUGCUGACGAGUGGCGAACGGGUGAGUAAUGCAUCGGAACGUGCCCAGUCGUGGGGGAUAACUACUCGAAAGAGUAGCUAAUACCGCAUACGAUCUAUGGAUGAAAGCGGGGGACCGUAAGGCCUCGCGCGAUUGGUGCGGCCGCUGUCAGAUUAGGUAGUUGGUGGGGUAAAGGCUCACCAAGCCAACGAUCUGUAGCUGGUCUGAGAGGACGACCAGCCACACUGGAACUGAGACACGGCCCAGACUCCUACGGGAGGCAGCAGUGGGGAAUUUUGGACAAUGGGCGCAAGCCUGAUCCAGCAAUGCCGCGUGCAGGAAGAAGGCCUUCGGGUUGUAAACUGCUUUUGUACGGAACGAAACGGCUCUGGUUAAUACCCGGGGCUAAUGACGGUACCGUAAGAAUAAGCACCGGCUAACUACGUG
rnacentral:rRNA from 1 species